rnacentral:sRNA from 1 species
UUAGGGCAUUGGUUACUUCUGCCGCAUA